AUCGCUUCUCGGCCUUUUGGCUAAUAUCAAGUGUAGUACCUGUUCUUAGUUUAACAUCUGAGACGUCCCCUGUCUGGGGGCCAUAUAAAUUUAUAUAAUACAUUUAUUUUUGGAAUAGGGGCUUGCUCUGUCCACUCCAUGCAUCCAUCUGGUAUUGCAGUACCUCCAGGAAUGGUGCACCCCCU